rnacentral:rRNA from 1 species
UACGUAGGGGGCAAGCGUUGUCCGGAAUCAUUGGGCGUAAAGAGCGUGUAGGCGGCCAGAUAAGUCCGCUGUGAAAUCUCGAGGCUCAACUUCGAGCUGUCGGUGGAAACUGUCUGGCUAGAGUCCGGAAGAGGAGAAUGGAAUUCCUGGUGUAGCGGUGAAAUGCGCAGAUAUCAGGAAGAACACCCGUGGCGAAGGCGGUUCUUUGGGACGGUACUGACGCUGAGACGCGAAAGCGUGGGGAGCGAACAGG